rnacentral:rRNA from 1 species
AUUGAACGCUGGCGGCAGGCCUAACACAUGCAAGUCGAGCGGAGCGGCGGACGGGUGAGUAAUGUCUGGGAAACUGCCUGAAGGAGGGGGAUAACGUCCGGCAACGGGCGCUAAUACCGCAUACUAUCAGAUGAGCCUUGGUCGGAUUGGCUUGUUGGUGGGGUAAAGGCCUACCAAGGCGACGAUCCGUAACUGGUCUGCGAGGAUGAUCAGUCAAACUGGAACUGAAACACGGUCCAGACUCCGACGGGAGGCAGCAGGGGGGAAUAUUGGACAAUGGGCGAAAGCCUGAUGCAGCCGUGCCGCGUGUGAGAAGAAGGCCUUCGGGUUGUAAAGCACUUUCAGCGGGGAGGCGUUACCCGCAGAAGAAGCACCGGCUAACUCCGUGCCAGCAGCCGCGGUAAUAC